GAUGAACGCUGGCGGCGUGCCUAAUACAUGCAAGUCGAGCGAACGGACGAGAAGCUUGCUUCUCUGAUGUUAGCGGCGGACGGGUGAGUAAAACGUGGAUAACCUACCUAUAAGACUGGGAUAACUUCGGGAAACCGGAGCUAAUACCGGAUAAUAUUUUGAACCGCAUGGUUCAAAAGUGAAAGACGGUCUUGCUGUCACUUAUAGAUGGAUCCGCGCUGCAUUAGCUAGUUGGUAAGGUAACGGCUUACCAAGGCAACGAUGCAUAGCCGACCUGAGAGGGUGAUCGGCCACACUGGAACUGAGACACGGUCCAGACCCCUACGGGAGGCAGCAGUAGGGAAUCUUCCGCAAUGGGCGAAAGCCUGACGGAGCAACGCCGCGUGAGUGAUGAAGGUCUUCGGAUCGUAAAACUCUGUUAUUAGGGAAGAACAUAUGUGUAAGUAACUGUGCACAUCUUGACGGUACCUAAUCAGAAAGCCACGGCUAACUACGUG
rnacentral:rRNA from 1 species